rnacentral:tRNA from 1 species
ACGCUUGUAACUUCAGUGGUAGAAGCUACACCCAAUUGUGUAGAUAAGUCGGUGGUUCGAUUCCAUCCAAGCGUC